UACGGGGGGGGCAAGCGUUGUUCGGAAUUACUGGGCGUAAAGGGCUCGUAGGCGGCCAACUAAGUCAGGCGUGAAAUCCCUCGGCUUAACCGGGGAACUGCAUCUGAUACUGGAUGGCUUGAGAUUGGGAGAGGGAUGCGGAAUUCCAGGUGUAGCGGUGAAAUGCGUAGAUAUCUGGAGGAAUACCGGUGGCGAAGGCGGCAUCCUGGACCGGCAUUGACGCUGAGGAGCGAAAGCUAGGGGAGCAAACGGG
rnacentral:rRNA from 1 species